CCAUAUGUCAUCAUUGACAAAAUUUCCCCAGUAGCGUACAAAAUAAAAAUUCCUAAGGAUGGUGAUUUUAUUGAAAAGUGGGUUCACAUUAACCAGUUGCGUGCUUGUCAUCCUAAAUCUCAAUUAAGGAUUAUAGGUGUGGAUUCGGAUGCAGAAGGGUGAACGACUAACCUGGAUGAAUGCUUGAUUCACGUGGUAUAGUAUGAUGUGAAAUGUUGUGAUGUGCCAUGAUCUCAUGUACGUUCAUGUCAUUAACCAUUUCCUUGCCAUCCAAUAACUACAUUUUAUAAGCAGGUUACUAGCUUGUUUAAAUGCUAUAGGCAAAUUGCUGAAGAGUCAGUAAUAAAUGUAGUGAGGGAUGAAGUUAUAAAAAUAGAAUUAGACAGAAUACAUAUGUUGAUGAAUCGUAAUAAUGUGUUGUCCUAGGCCAAGUGAUGUCAC